AAGUCGUAACAAGGUUUCCGUAGGUGAACCUGCGGAAGGAUCAUCACUGAUUCUCAGGGGAUAGGUGAUGUGUGGGUGGUGGGUGUACUCCGCCGCCGCCCACAUCCCGCCCCAACCAAUCUUGUGUGCAUCGUUUCUCACCGAUCAAGGAGAGCGCAAUAAUGCGCGUGUGACAUGUGUGUGUUGUGUGUUGGCAAGCCUUUACUCUCUUGCCAACCGCAGGCACCCUGUCGCGCAUGCUUUCUCUCUAUUUAUAAAAUCUCGAUGAAAUCUUGUCUAACACGUUACCUAAAUUUUAACACAUACAACUUUUAACAAUGGAUCUCUUGGCUCUCGCAUCGAUGAAGAACGCAGCAAAUUGCGAAAAUUAAUGUGCAUUGCAGUACGUGAAUCAUCGAGUCUUUGAACGCAACUUGCACUCUAGGUUCUCCUAGAGUAUGCCUAUUUGAGUAUCGGUACACCCCACUCAAACCCCCACGGGUGGUUUGGAUCUGAUGAGUCGUGUGUGCGCACCACGCGCGCAUCGACUUGAAGUGUACACUGAAUCGGGCCUAUGCAUACUGUGCAUGCGGUACUGACGUGAUAGUCUUUCAUGGACACGCGUGUUUUCUCUUUUGAGGAGGGAGGCACGCACUCGUCAGAUCAAUCCCCGCGUGCCAGUCAUAGUGGUUACCCAGUCACACACCUCACCCCUUAUCACCUUGAAUCUCGAUCUCAAAUUANGUAGGACUACCCGCUGAAUUUAA
rnacentral:rRNA from 1 species